GGCCAAGUUUUUAAGGGCGCACGGUGGAUGCCUUGGCACCAGGAACCGAUGAAGGACGUGGGAGGCCACGAUAGUCCCCGGGGAGUCGUCAACCAGGCUUUGAUCCGGGGGUUUCCGAAUGGGGAAACCCGGCAGUCGUCAUGGGCUGUCACCCACUGCUGAACACAUAGGCAGUGUGGAGGGAACGCGGGGAAGUGAAACAUCUCAGUACCCGCAGGAAGAGAAAACAACCGUGAUUCCGGGAGUAGUGGCGAGCGAAACCGGAUGAGGCCAAACCGUAUGCGUGUGAGACCCGGCAGGGGUUGCGUAUGCGGGGUUGUGGGAUCUCUCUUCCACGGUCUGCCGGCCGUGGGACGAGUCAGAAACCGUUGAUGUAGGCGAAGGACAUGCGAAAGGUCCGGCGUAGAGGGUAAGACCCCCGUAGUCGAAACGUCAGCGGCUCGUUUGAGAGACACCCAAGUAGCACGGGGCCCGAGAAAUCCCGUGUGAAUCUGGCGGGACCACCCGCUAAGCCUAAAUAUUCCCUGGUGACCGAUAGCGGAUAGUACCGUGAGGGAAUGGUGAAAAGUACCGCGGGAGCGGAGUGAAAUAGUACCUGAAACCGUGUGCCUACAAGCCGUGGGAGCGUCGGA
rnacentral:rRNA from 1 species